UUUGUAGUCCACAGUCGCAGCCAGUGCUAAGCAAGCAGGGCAGGGCAGCUCUGUACUGGGGAAGUGCUGAAUGCACAGCUGUCCUGCGUGUCUCUUCAGGUGACCUGACCUACAUUUCCAGCACCGUUCUAUCACUUUGCAAACAAUGAAAAGGAGAUCCAGCCCCCAAUCAGCCUCCGUCUGAAGGAACUUGACCAGAUGUUUCCCACCUCUUCGGAGAGUGCUAUAAUGACCAGAUGGGCUAACAGGCUGUGGAGUGGAUGCCUACACAGUCAGGUGGGUGGCUAACUGGCUUAGGGACCGCACCCAGAGAGUGGUGGUUGAUGGGUCACUCUCCGCCUGGAAGGAGGUGGGAAUGGGAUUCCACAGGAUCUUCAUUAGCAAUUUGGAUGAGGGUGUGGUGAGCACCCUCCCAAGUUCAUGGAUGAUACCAAAUUAUGGGGCAAAGUUAAUACACCAGAGGGCAGGGAACAGUUACAGGCCAACCUGGACAGGUUAGAUCAGUGGGCAGAAUAUAAUAGGAUGCAAUUCAACAAAGAUAAAUGUAAGGUACUCCACCUAAGAGGGAGGAAUCCCCAGCACACCUACAGGUUGGGGGAUGUCUGCCUCAGCAGCUCAGAGGCUGAGAGAGAUCUUAGAGUCAUAGUUGACUCCAAGACGAACAUGAGCCGGCAGUGUGACGAGGCCAUCAAAAAAGCCAAUUGCACUUUGUCGUGUAUUAGCAGAUGCAUGACCAACCGAUCGAGGGAUGUGAUGCUCCCCCUCUGUGCAGCAUUAGUCAGGCCGCACUGUGCUGUGCUGGAGUACUGUGCCCAGUUUUGGGUGCCGCACUUCAAGAGGGACAUGGAGGAUCUGGAGAGGGUUCAGAGGACACUCACAUGAUUAGCGGUCUCUGUAAAAGACCGUACGAGGAGAGGUUGAGAGAUCUGGAUCUCUUCAGCCUGUACAAAAAGACAGCUGAGGGGUGACCCUGUAGCCACUGAUAAAUUUAUCAGGGGAUGACAGCAGGGAAUUGGGGAUGCACUGUUUACCAAAGCGCCCCAGGGAGUAACUAGGAAUAAUGGGUGCAAACUAAUGGAGAGUAGAUUUAGGUUAGACAUUAGGAAGACAUUUUUUACAAUAAGGGUGGCCAGAGUCUGGAAUGGGCUUCCAGGAGAGGUGGUGCUGUCACCUAACUUGGAGGUCUUCAAGAGGAGGCUUGACAAUCACUUGGCUGGGGUCAUCUGACCUUGGUCCUCUUUCCUGCCAGGGGCAGGGUGUCAGACACAAUGAUCCAUUGGGUCCCUUCCAACUCUAUAAUUUAUGAAUCUAUGAACAUAUGGCACUCCCACAUGGGUGACUCUUAAUCCUGAUGAAUCAGUUUUAUUUUUGCAUGGAAUAUUUAAAUAUAUUUACUGCUCUUUCACUCAUGAACUGGAAUUCUAUUAAAUGUAAAAACAAAAUUUGAAAAAUUCUACUUAAAUUUGUUAAAUGUAAAACAAAUUCUAAAUAUAUCAAAAUGUUUACCUUGUAAAAACAAAUUAAUUUAUUAUACAAAGAACAUAUCUGUAGUUACUGAAUUAAAUGGAUUAUUUUUGCCCUUUUGAGACUUCAGCGCUACUAAAAUCUUAUCCGCUCACAACUUAUUCUUCUCCAUCACCUGGAAAUAGAAAAUAAACUUCCCUGUCUUUUUAGCUAUUAUGCAGUCUCUAGUUAUACAACUAAAGUAACUGUACAAACUGAAAAGAAAAGUUGUUUGCACCUGCAGAAGAGGCGACUAUCAUCAGAACUUUGAGAUAUCACAUCAGCAAACUGGUUUUGGAAACUUAACCACCAUUUCAGUGGCUGGACUUUCUUUACU